GUGCCAGACUCCUACGGGAGGCAGCAGUGAGGAAUAUUGGUCAAUGGGCGAGAGCCUGAACCAGCCAAGUCGCGUGAGGGAGGACGGCCCUACGGGUUGUAAACCUCUUUUGCCGGGGGACAAACGGCGGCACGCGUGCCGUCCUGAGGGUACCCGGAGAAAAAGCAUCGGCUAACUCCGUGCCAGCAGCCGCGGUAAUACGGAGGAUGCGAGCGUUAUCCGGAUUUAUUGGGUUUAAAGGGUGCGUAGGCGGACUGGAAAGUCAGCGGUAAAAUCGAGAGGCUCAACCUCUUUCCGCCGUUGAAACUGUCGGUCUUGAGUGGGCGAGAAGUAUGCGGAAUGCGUGGUGUAGCGGUGAAAUGCAUAGAUAUCACGCAGAACUCCGAUUGCGAAGGCAGCAUACCGGCGCUCAACUGACGCUCAUGCACGAAAGUGUGGGUAUCGAACAGGAUUAGAUACCCGAGUA
rnacentral:rRNA from 1 species